rnacentral:rRNA from 1 species
GACGAACGCUGGCGGCGUGCUUAACACAUGCAAGUCGAACGGAAAGGCCCUGCUUGCAGGGUACUCGAGUGGCGAACGGGUGAGUAACACGUGGGUGAUCUGCCCUGCACUUCGGGAUAAGCCUGGUAAACUGGGUCUAAUACCGGAUAGGAGCCAUUUUUAGUGUGAUGGUUGGAAAGUUUUUUCGGUGUAGGAUGAGCUCGCGGCCUAUCAGCUUGUUGGUGGGGUAAUGGCCUACCAAGGCGGCGACGGGUAGCCGGCCUGAGAGGGUGGACGGCCACAUUGGGACUGAGAUACGGCCCAGACGCCUACGGGAGGCAGCAGUGGGGAAUAUUGCACAAUGGGCGCAAGCCUGAUGCAGCGACGCCGCGUGGGGGAUGACGGCCUUCGGGUUGUAAACUCCUUUCGCUAGGGACGAAGCUUUUUGUGACGGUACCUAGAUAAGAAGCACCGGCUAACUACGUG